rnacentral:rRNA from 1 species
GACGAACGCUGGCGGCGUGCUUAACACAUGCAAGUCGAACGAAGAGCGAUGGAAGCUUGCUUCUAUCAAUCUUAGUGGCGAACGGGUGAGUAACGCGUAAUCAACCUGCCCUUCAGAGGGGGACAACAGUUGGAAACGACUGCUAAUACCGCAUACGAUCUGACCUCGGCAUCGAGGAUAGAUGAAAGGUGGCCUCUACAUGUAAGCUAUCACUGAAGGAGGGGAUUGCGUCUGAUUAGCUAGUUGGAGGGGUAACGGCCCACCAAGGCGAUGAUCAGUAGCCGGUCUGAGAGGAUGAACGGCCACAUUGGGACUGAGACACGGCCCAGACUCCUACGGGAGGCAGCAGUGGGGAAUCUUCCGCAAUGGACGAAAGUCUGACGGAGCAACGCCGCGUGAGUGAUGACGGCCUUCGGGUUGUAAAGCUCUGUUAAUCGGGACGAAAGGCCUUCUUGUGAAUAGUGAGAAAGGAUU